AUUGAACGCUGGCGGCAGGCUUAACACAUGCAAGUCGAGCGAGCGGCGGACGGGUGAGUAAUGUCUGGGACACUGCCUGAUGGAGGGGGAUAACUACUGGAAAAGGUAGCUAAUACCACAUACCCUCAGAUGUGCCCAGAUGGGAUUCGCUAGUAGGUGGGGUAAUGGCUCACCUAGGCGACGAUCCCUAGCUGGUCUGAGAGGAUGACCAGCCACACUGGAACUGAGACACGGUCCAGACUCCUACGCGAGGCAGCAGUGGGGAAUAUUGCACAAUUGGCGCAAGCCUGAUGCAACCAUGCCGCGUGUCGGAAGAAGGCCCUGUGGUUGUAAAGCACUUUCAGCUAGGAGGCGGUACUCGCAGAAGAAGCACCGGCUAACUCCGUGCCAGCAGCCGCGGUAAUUC
rnacentral:rRNA from 1 species